GAUGAACGCUGGCGGCGUGCCUAAUACAUGCAAGUCGAGCGAACGGACGAGAAGCUUGCUUCUCUGAUGUUAGCGGCGGACGGGUGAGUAACACGUGGAUAACCUACCUAUAAGACUGAGAUAACUUCGGGAAACCGGAGCUAAUACCGGAUAAUAUUUUGAACCGCAUGGUUCAAAAGUGAAAGACGGUCUUGCUGUCACUUAUAGAUGGAUCCGCGCUGCAUUAGCUAGUUGGUAAGGUAACGGCUUACCAAGGCAACGAUGCAUAGCCGACCUGAGAGGGUGAUCGACCACACUGGAACUGAGACACGGUCCAGACUCCUACGGGAGGCAGCAGUAGGGAAUCUUCCGCAAUGGGCGAAAGCCUGACGGAGCAACGCCGCGUGAGUGAUGAAGGUCUUCGGAUCGUAAAACUCUGUUAUUAGGGAAGAACAUAUGUGUAAGUAACUGUGCACAUCUUGACGGUACCUAAUCAGAAAGCCACGGCUAACUACGUG
rnacentral:rRNA from 1 species